UUUGUCCAAUUCAUAUCCUUAAUUAGUUUUUCUGCCUUAUCUUUUGUUUUUGUCCAGUUCCUUUGUUCACAACACUAAUGUCACAUCUCGCAUAUACAUUUUGUGUUAUGCUCUCGAUCUAAGGUUCAGGAUAUUUCUUCGAUUACAGACUGAAUUUUAGGAUACAAGCUCGGGUUCUAGGGUAGGAGAAAGGGGAAUUGGGGGUAGGAGGAAGCCAGCCGCCGCCUGUGUCUUGUUCCAGCCUGCCUCCCUCUCCACGCUCGCAGGUACAUAUCCCUCUCGAUCAGCCAGUGACCCAGCUAUGGGCCGGGUACCGCUCACUCCCCUUGCGAGCCCGCGUCGGUCGGCCAUGGGCCUCAAUCUCCGUCUGGGCCUUGGUCGUAGAAGUAGCAGCGCCUGGUGUAGCUGAAGAAGUAGGAGGGGCCGUAACAUUCCCCCUUCCUUGAGACGCAGCUUGACCCCAAGCUGUAGCAGCUGGGAAGUACAGCCGCAACUCCUCUCGGUCCUCCCAUGUCGCCAGCGCUGCUGGCUGGUCAGUCCAACGCACCAACACUUGCGGUACGUCUACGCCUGCGCGAUGAUGAAUGCGGCUGUCAAGCACCUCCACCGGUUCCGGCUGCGGUGCCGCUUCGUGUGGUAACUCUUCCAGAGCAUUUUCCGAUGGUGGCAGUGCACUGCGGAGCUGAGAGACAUGAAACACCGGAUGCACCGUGCUUGUCUCCGGCAGCUUGAGCUUGUACGCCACAUUACCCACCUUUUGGAUAACCUGAAAAGGACCAAAGUACUUGAACGAGAGCUUAGUGUUAGCGCGAGUGGCCACUGAUCGUUGGAGAUAGGGUUGCAGUUUGAGAAACACCCAGUCAUCCACUUGGAACACCCGAUCAGAUCGACGCUUGUCCGCUGAUUCCUUCAUGUGCUGUCUGGCCCGGAGGAGAUGCUGCCGCAGCAUAGUCUCCAUUUGUGCCCUGUCCUGAAGCCAUUCCCCUAUAUCCGGCGAAGCACAAACUGUAGUAUCCAGGAUGCCAAAGUGCCGAGGAGCAUGGCCAUACAGUACCUCAAAAGAAGAAGUCCCCAAAGCUGAAUGAGGUGAAGUAUUAUACCAGAAUUCCGCCAACGGUAGCCAUGAUGACCACUUGGUAGGGCAGGCAUGCACGAAGCAGCGGAGGUAAGUCUCAAGGCACUGGUUGACGCGCUCGGACUGACCAUCCGUCUGUGGGUGUCUUGCAGUGCUCAUACGCAACUCGGUGUGCGUGAGACGAAACAGCCCUCUCCACAUUACACUCGUAAAGAUUGGGUCACGAUCAGACACAAUUCCUUCUGGCAAACCGUGCAACUUGUAUAUGUUGUUGGCAAAGGCCACUGCCACUUGAAACGCAGUGAAGGGAUGUGACAAGGCAAUGAAGUGCGCAUACCGUGAAAAUUUGUCGACCACCACUAAGAUGCUGUUGUAGCCUGCUGAGCGGGGAAGACCUUCCACAAAGUCCAUAGUAAUCAGCUCCCACGCUUGCUUAGGCACAGGUAAUGGCUCCAACAGCCCCGGGUAACGUACUCGUUCAGGUUUUGCUUGUUUGCAUGUCUGACACUGCUCCACAAACAGCCGCACAUGGUGCUUGAGACUCGGCCAAGUAAACAGUCUGCGGAUCCGCUUGUAUGUCACAUUGAAGCCGGAGUGGCCUCCAAUGGCACUGGAAUGUAGUGCUGCGGGCACUUGCUUCUGCAGGGUUACAUUGGCUCCCAGCCAUACCCUCCCAUGCCGGCGAAUGACCCCAUCCUGCAGGCGAAAGCCCGCAUGUCCCUCUGGUGUUGUAGACAAUUUCGCUAGCAAUUUUUGGGCUGCUGGAUCCUGCUCAUAGCCUUGCUGUACUGUUUCCAACCAUGCGAGAACCGCCACAGUUAUGGUAGCGAGGUCUCCUUGUAACGGCCCAGGGCGGCGUGAGAGUGCAUCUGCCGCUUUGUUGUCUUCGCCCUUCUUGUACACAAUACGGUAUCGCAGUCCAAGCAAUUUGGCCAUCACCUUUUGCUGCCACGGAGUCGCCAAACAUUGUCCUCCAGAUGCACUAGGCUGCGUUGGUCUGUGUGUAUGAUGAAUUCAUCGUGCUGGAGAUAAGAUCGCCAAUGUUCCACAGCCAGCAGGAUGGCGAGACCUUCCUUCUCAUAAGUGGACAGAGCGCGGUUACGCGGGCCCAACGCCUUGCUUAGGAAGGUGAUAGGGUGUCGUUCCUGCUGGAGCACCGCGCCAAUACCCAGGUCUGACGCGUCCGUCUCUAGUUCAAACGGCUUGGCAAAAUCAGGUAAGGCGAGCACUGGAGCAGAGGUCAAGGCGGUCUUGAGAGCAGCGAAUGCGGUUUCCUCGAGAUUCGUCCACCUGAAGACUAUGUUCUUCUUAAGCAGGUCAGUAAGGGGUCUGCUAAUGACGCCAAACUGCCGGACAAACUUUCGGUAGUAGCCUGCUAGGCCAAGGAACCCUCGAACCUCUUUGACCGAGGUUGGCGUCGGCCAAUUUUCCACUGCUCGGAUGUUCUUCCUGUCAGUCCGGACGCCGUCACCACUGAUCUCGUGCCCCAGAUACGUGAGACUUGGUCUCGCAAACGAGCACUUGCUCCUGUUAAUCUUGAACUGGUGUUGUUUCAGAAUCUGAAACACUUGACGAAGGAGCCUGACAUGUGUUGGUUCAUCUUCACUGUGCACUAGAAUGUCAUCUAUGAAUACCAACACGCCCUUGCGUAGCAACAGUGACAAAGCAGUAUUCAUCUUGCCUUGAAAUGUAGCGGGUCCCCCCGUCAGGCCAUAGGACAUCACUUUGAAUUCAAAGUGGCCAUGGUGAGUCUUGAAGGCCGUUUUGUGCUCGUCUUCGAGGCGCAUCCGGAUUUGAUGAUAGCCCGCGCGCCAGUCAAGACUGGUAAAUAACUUACUUCCGGCAAGUUCAUCCAACAGUUCAUCGAUGAUUGGAAGGGGGUAACGGUUCUUCACUGUGAUUGCAUUCAGGUGUCGGUAGUCAACACAAAAUCGCUAGGUGAGGUCUUUCUUUUGCACCAACAGCACAGGUGAGGCAAACGGACUCGAGCUCGGCUGGAUAAUCCCCUGAGCUAGCAUCUCUGCUACUUGACGCUCCACUUCAUCUUUCUGUGCCGGACUAUAACGAUAAGGACGAAGGUUCACAGGGCGUGCACCAGGUACCAGAGGAAUCGCAUGAUCACCCUCUCGUUGUGGUGGUACUCCCGUUGGCUCGCCGAACAGAUGCUCAUAUUCGUUAAGCAGUUGCUGCACUGAUUGAGGCACCGGCAUCUCAGUCGCUUGAACGGUGUCAGUUUGGACAGUACAUAGUUGCAGGAUGCGUGCCACUCCUGCUCGCUGGAGUAACAAGUUGAGCUCCUCUCCUGAGAGCAUCUGGCACUGCGUGACAUCUGCCUUAGCCCCUUGCAGCUGCACCUGUUGCCCUCCAUACUCAAAUUGCAUGGUCUUCUCCUGCCAAUGCACCUGCAUAGGACUGUGACAAGCAAGCCAGUCAAUGCCCAAGAUGACAUUGUAGCUUCCCAAUGGCAACACCUUCAGAUUGGUCUGGAACUGAACUCCAUGCGUGCUCCAUUGACAGCUUGGUAUCUCUUGAUCACUGCGCAUCUCGCCCCCAUUUGCCACUCGGACCUUGAGCGCACGUUUGGCCGGUUGUAAUCCCUUGAGAUGCUCCGCGAGCGAUGCACACACAAAGCUGUGCGAGCUACCCGAGUCGACCAGCAUGAUCACCUCACGCCCUUGCACCCAGCCAUGAAGACGCAUGGUUGUUGGGGAUUCUGCCCCUUCGAUUGCCUCCUUGGAAAUGACACAACAAUCUGCUGCCGACUCACUGGUUGCGUUAGGAGUCGCCACAUCUUCUUCUUGAUCGGUGCGCAUCAUAUCCAGUAAUUCCUCCACCACAUGCAGUUGUACCGUAGGGCCGCACCGGUGCUCCCGACCCCAUCGUUCGCCGCAGGUGAAACAGAGGCCGCGCGCACGGCGAUACGCCUUGAGGGUGGCCAUCUUGUCGUCUUGGACAGGUGGACGAGUCACUUCAGGGGUGCGCCGCGUCGGCGCGCGACUAUCCUGAGCGAUUACAGUUGUAGGCGAUGAGACUGGUGGCGGUGGUAGUGGCAAGGCCGUCCGCGGCACCGACCGCAGCACAUGGGCCGAUGAGUACCGACGGUCCUCGCGUUUGUCCUCACGCCGCAAUGCGUCCAGCACCUCUUCCUGCAAGCAUGCGAGAUCGACGGCAGUAUCAAGAGUUUUUGGGCGAUGCAAAACAACAACAGCUCGAAUUUCUUUCUGUAGACCAUCAAUAAAAUGUGUAAUGAAAUAAGAUGGCUCCCAGGACUCGUGGUGUGCUGUGAGAUUGUGCAUCAGUUGAGUGAAUUGCUCGGCAUACUCAGUAACAGUGCCUCCCUGACUAAGCCUAUUAAACUGCCUCAACAAAUUUUGAAACUCUUCUCGACCAAAUUGAGCGCACACAGCAUCCGCAAAUGGCCCCCAAUCUCGAAAAUGCAAGUGUGCCUUGCUCGACUGUAACCAAGACAGGGCUCCAUCGAUGAAGUACAUCGUGGCACAACUAACCCAAGUAUCCGGACUCAAUGUGGACACACGAAAAUAAGCUUCACACUUAAGCCGCCAAGCUCUAGGCCCAUCACCAUCGAACAAUGGAAAAUCAAAACGAGGUGGUGGUGGAAACCGAUGAUACCCAAAACUUCUGUCUCCCAUGAAUGAACUCUCUCCGAUGUGGAACUGAGAAUCGAGCGUACCCGUGACCGGAGGCGCCCUAGGGGUUCGUUCCCCCGGUGACAUCCCCCGAUGAUCUGAAGUCCUGCCGUGGCCAGUAGACCCGUGGCCGUCGCCACCGCGAACCAAAAGGUGGUCGCUGGGUCGGGGAAGGCGCGCGUCCGCAACUUGUGGAAGCAGGGAAGGCAGGUCUGCGGUUGUUGGAAGGAGGGGAGGCAAAUCCGCGAGGCGGACCGGCUGCACCGGAUCCUUCUCCCGUGCCGGUGCUGGGUCUUGCGCCAGCGCGGGGGCCGGCCGAAUCUCCUCGAGUUGCUGCCGCAAUUCGCCCACCUCGGCGCGCAGAUCGCCCACUGAUCGCUCAAUUGCCGGUCUCCACCCUUGGAGUUCGAGAACCACCGGGUGGAUCUCGCUGAUCUGAGCUGACAUAGCGCUGAUGGCCGCCGUCAGAUCCGCCAGAGCUUUGUUGGUUUCCUCCAUGGCUGUUGCCUUGCCGUGGCGAGUCUGGAUAAUGGAGGGAAAUCGGCCUGCCAGUGUUUGGUGGUGGGUGGGAAAGCCUGCUGAUACCAAAUGUUAUGCUCUCGAUCUAAGGUUCAGGAUAUUUCUUCGAUUACAGACUGAAUUUUAGGAUACAAGCUCGGGUUCUUGGGUAGGAGAAAGGGGAAUUGGGGGUAGGAGGAAGCCAACCGCCGCCUGUGUCUUGUUCCAGCCUGCCUCCCUCUCCACGCUCGCAGGUACAUAUCCCUCUCGAUCAGCCAGUGACCCAGCUAUGGGCCGGGUACCGCUCACUCCCCUUGCGAGCCCGCGUCGGUCGGCCAUGGGCCUCAAUCUCCGUCUGGGCCUUGGUCGUAGAAGUAGCAGCGCCUGGUGUAGCUGAAGAAGUAGGAGGGGCCGUAACA
rnacentral:lncRNA from 1 species